rnacentral:misc_RNA from 1 species
UUUCAUGGCAGCACCAACCUGUACUUGAUCGCCUUUUUCCAUGUCUGUUCAGCACUUUUAUCACUCAGACAAUUCUCGAUAGCUCCAUAGACAUUUGAUACAUUCUUGCAAAUUUUAUGAGGAGUCAGUAUAUGAUAUGCUUUGAAAUGAUAUUGAAAAUUUACUUUAUCUCUGAAUUUGAGCACUUGCAUCCUAGUAUUUGAGCUCCUUUUACCGGC